UACGACUACAUAUCAGGCAUAUCAAUAAGCGGAGGAAAAGAAACUAACAAGGAUUCCCUUAGUAACGGCGAGUGAAGCGGGAAGAGCUCAAAUUUGAAAUCUUCAAGGUUCUACCUUGACGAAUUGUAGUUUAAAGAAGUGUUUUCUGCUAGAGUGAGUAGCAAAAGUUCCUUGGAAUGGGACAUCAUAGAGGGUGAGAAUCCCGUAUUUGGUUAUUCAUUCUAGCUUUGUGAUACACUUUCAAAGAGUCGGAUUGUUUGGGAAUGCAGUCCAAAAUGGGUGGUAAAUUUCAUCUAAAGCUAAAUAUUGGCGAGAGACCGAUAGCGAACAAGUACCGUGAGGGAAAGAUGAAAAGAACUUUGAAAAGAGAGUUAAACAGUACGUGAAAUUGUCAAAAGGGAAGCGUUUGACACCAGUGUUGUUUUUCCGAAAAUCAAUUACGAAUGGCUUGAUUCUUGUGUUGUAUUGACCUUAUCAGCUUUCUGCACUUUUUUCGAGUCUUUCUUAAUGCACUUUUCGUUUAACAAGUCAACAUCAAUUUCUUUUGUUGUAAAGGAGUCAUUCGGAAGGUGGCUUUCACUUUCGGAUGAAAGUGUUUAUAGCCCUAUAGCUUCUAGCAAUCGGAGAGAUUGAGGUCUGCAGCGUAGAUCCUUCGGGGUUAGAUACACUUUGUGCUAAGUUGUAGCUUUUCAUAGACAACUUGUUGACUAUGUUUAGUCAUGCGGCUUACUCGCUUAUGCUAUUUUACCUACGCUUAGGAUGUUGAGUAGCGACAUACGCAC
rnacentral:rRNA from 1 species